rnacentral:ncRNA from 1 species
GCAAAGAUUGGACGUGACACGUAACGAAAUGGUAUGAGGAGGAACGAAUAUCCUGAGAUCCAUACCUCUCCUUGGAAAACCACACACAAGACAGCGUAAAAAGAACUUGAAAGGGCGCAAGCAUAACCUGCUCCACUUUGCCAUACCAUAAGUAAAGCUAAAGCUGUAUCCGCGAGGCGGUACUUGCUUUGUAGGCCUGGCAAAGCCCAUUGCUGUCAAUAAAAACAUAGCGAAUUGAAACAUCUAAGUAGCUAUUAAGAAAUCAACCGAGAUACCGUUAGUAGUUGUGAGCGAAAGCGGAAUAGGCCAUAUUUUUCUUCAAUGUUGGUAUAAAUGUUUGUUGGAAAACCAUGCCAAAGAGGGUGAAAGCCCCGUUUAUCUACUUAUUUUAUUGGUGCUUGCACACUUUAGUGUGCAAGCACUUUGAGUCUCACAAAAAAAAAGAC